CCUACGGGAGGCAGCAGUGGGGAAUAUUGCACAAUGGGGGAAACCCUGAUGCAGCGACGCCGCGUGAGUGAAGAAGUAUUUCGGUAUGUAAAGCUCUAUCAGCAGGGAAGAAAAUGACGGUACCUGAUUAAGAAGCCACGGCUAACUACGUGCCAGCAGCCGCGGGAAUACGUAGGGGGCAAGCGUUAUCCGGAUUUACUGGGUGUAAAGGGAGCGUAGACGGCAGCACAAGUCUGGAGUGAAAUGCCGGGGCUUAACCCCGGAACUGCUUUGGAAACUGUGCAGCUAGAGUGCAGGAGAGGUAAGUGGAAUUCGUAGUGUAGCGGUGAAAUGCGUAGAUAUUAGGAGGAACACCAGUGGCGAAGGCGGCUUACUGGACUGUAACUGACGUUGAGGCUCGAAAGCGUGGGGAGCAAACAGGAUUAGAUACCCCUGUAGUC
rnacentral:rRNA from 1 species